rnacentral:lncRNA from 1 species
GCCUAUGCAACCUUAAUUUAGCCCCCUUGUGUGCCUAUAUCAUGAAAAAGUCUUUAAUUACAUGGUCACAUGCCUUUUCCUACUACCCCUUUCUUUCACCUAGUACAUAGAAUAAACAGCACUCACUUAAUAAGCAGCUAGUCACUAUUUUAUUUCUUCCGUUGCUUAGCAUGUGGCCCCAUCCUUUGUUUAGCACAUGCUUCUCAAGUUCUGCUAUGAAAAUGUAAUAAUUAAGUCCCUUGUUGGGUGCUUCUGUCAUACCUAUCAUUAGAGCAUUUGACUGUUUCACGGACAUUAAUGAAUUUAUUUCCCUGACUCCACUGCAUACUCAUUAUUUGGUGAGUGUGUACAUGAUGCAACAAAGUUGCACAUAGUAAUACUAAAAAAGAUAAAAACAAGAUGCAAUUUUUGCAAGGCAAAAUUGCCCAUGGAAGGGACACAUCCGAACUGCUGAGUAAUUUCAGAUUAGCAGAGUGUAGUCUAGAAGUCCUCCUUCAACUAGCCUGCAUGAAAUAGGCUACCACUUAAUAGAUAUGUUAUCCUGACCAGUGACAGAUCUAACUCUUUUUAAUUACCAAGGAUCUCAACACAAAAUUUUGUAGAUGUCUGUGUGUGUGUGUGUGUGUGUGUGUGUGUGUGUGUGUGAGAGAGAGAGAGAGAGAGUGCGCGCACACAAGCACAGGUGGGAGAUUUACAAGAAAAAUAUUGCAGAAGAAAUCGUACCCAAAAAAGCAUUAGAGCCACCACUGAAGCAUGCAGUUAUACCAUAAAUUCUCCCUACUAGCUUCAUGACCAAAAUCAUGGGGCAGUCAGGAGCUUGUAACUUUCUUCCACGUGCCUCUUUUUCAUAUGUAGUGUGAGUUGUCACAUGCUUGUCUCUGCAUGCUUGGGGAGAGCCAUAAAAAGGAAACUUGUAACAAGUCAAUAUUAAGAGAAUAAGGAGCUCUGUUAUUAAUAAAAACAUCAACUGCACGAGUAACUGUUGCAUUACAGCAUUCCNNNNNNNNNNNNNNUCCUGCCCUCUGCAAACUUACCUCCAGGGACAGCACCUCCAAACUCUCCUUUUCCCAGUCCCAGAAGAAAGAUUUGAGCAAAGUUUAUGAAGUUCUUGGGGAUGGGUCCCACUCUCCUCAAGAGACUGAAAAGGAACGCUUCAGUUCUAGAGAAGAAACAUUUCCAGGAAGGAAUCACAGUGGAUGGCUGGAGGAAACUAUAUGGAAUUGGCUUCAUGACGUAAGGAUUUUGAAGGGGGAAGAGAACUGGAUUCCUCUUCCUUCUUCUUAUUUACUAUUAUAUCUAAAAAAAAAAAAAAAGUAAAUCACUGUGGGACAUUGAUUUUAAAAGUGUAUCACUACAUCAUGAUCCAUUUUUUUUAAGUUGUAAAAGCUAUCUAACUAGCAAUGUCAGUAAAAGAACUCUAUUUCUCUGAGUACUUAUAUUUAGUGUGGUUAAAGGACACAGUAAAAUUGAAACUAAUUUGCUGUGAAUACUGGUGCACUAGACCAUGAGGCUGUGUUAGUAGAAAGCUUUAUGUGACACGCAGAUUACAGCCUAUUUUUUAUUGUCAGACUCAAUCCUUCAUUCAUACAAAUACAAAGUCAGAACCCUAAUUACUUCUGUUAGAAAUGCUGCAGCUUAUUAAGAAGGGGGCAUAAGUCUUUCGCUGUAAAUUCUUGAUCAUGGCAUUGCAAUUCCAAGCCAUUUGUAAAAUGUUCCAGCAUUUAAUUUACAGUCUGUUUCUCUCUUUAUGUGGGUUCUGAUUGCAAAAUCGUCAAUCAUUAUACAAUAUUAGCCAUGUGAUGAACCAUGUACUACUUGUUAGCUCUGGCUCCAAAAUAACCCCAUUAGUCCCUUCCUCAUCAUCUCCUGUUCCUUCUAAUUGCUUACAGGCACACUGAAAAAUUUUGCCUUUUGGUCAAUCAUCUUGCUCUUUUCUAACAAUGAAAAUUUCAGGCAGAUUCAGUAACGAUCCUUCUAGUAUUCAUCUAGUGCUACACGCUUCAUGGACAGGUUUUGAAACUCUUCAUUAUUAAGCAAAUGUUCUGCCCAUGCAUUGGGAGCUAUUUUUUUACCUCAGCUGGAAAUCCUGACGGCUGAAAGAUGUUUUAGCUACAAUGUGGCCUGUGCUAGAAGCCAUAUAAAUCCAUACGGUGAUGUGAUGCCAGUGGAGCACAGCCCAGAACAAACAUGUGAAAUCACCAUGUCUGAUAACAAAAGUUAGAGGAGGCUACCAGAGUAGCAGAGACCAGGGUCAUGCCGUAAGACAUGACGUAACUUAACAUUUUAAAAUGAGAUGUUUAUAAAACCCCACAGAGCGAUGUUUAGCACAUCCUUGGGCAAAUUAUGCUGCAGGGGAAACCUCAUAUCACCAGGUAGCUGUUAAGACAAUGCCCUUUAUGAAAACUUGCCCUAGAUUCAACAGCUCCAGGCUAUCAUCUCUUUUCCACCCAAAAACCACGAGUGCCGAGUGGAAAUGGUCAGUGGCUCACAGCUAGGCUGAUCUGGCAGGUGGAGUGAGAGAGAAGUGACAGCAAUUUUCUCAGGCAGGCUGCUACUGGUGAACACAUUUUUCACGUACAUAUUCCCCUGCACAGUGCUAGCAUAGCUUUCUUGGGAUGUUUUUAUGUCACUUUGCUUUUGUGUUUCUGAUGUCAGUGUGUGCAUUAUGCAUAGAAGUGUAUGCCCUGGCUGAUCCAGUGGGAAACUAUACAUAUUUAAUAGUAUAGACAGUAUAGACCUGGCAUGUAGGUAAAGAUUUUGACUAGGAUAGAUUUUGAAAGGUCUGCCUAAAAAAAGCCUCUGAAAGCCCCUGAGCCAUCAGUAAAUGAUACCCUAUGUUGUAAAUGGAUUGGGAGUACACUAGCCAAAUGCUGUAUUGGAAGCAGCUUUCCUGUAAAUAAAUUAACAUCCAGAUCUGUAUGUUUUUUCA